UUUUAACUAGAUGCUGACUCUUUUGACUAUUUUACGUUGACAGCAUUUUGGUCACAACCAUUUAACCAAUCUCUAAGAAGUUUCAAACUUUCCCUCAACUCUUUGUCUUCUUCUGAGCCAUCCAAACUCUUCCAACCUUUUCCAUUGCCCAGUUCCAAAGCUGCUGUCAUAUUUUCAGGUAUCUUUAUAGCAAUACCCUACUCCCUGGCAACAAUUUCCUGUUGUAGUCCAUUUUUCAUUGCUAUAAAGAAAUAUCUGAGGCUGGGUAAUUUAUUUCAGAAAUGUUUAUUAGGCCCAUGAUUCUGAUAGCUGGAAAUUUCAAGAUUGGGCAUCUGCAGCUGGCAAGGGCCUCGGGAUGCUUCUAUUCAUGGUAGAAGGUGAAAGGGAGCUGGCGUGUGCAUGGAUGACAUGGUGAGAGAGGAAGCAAGAGAGAUAGUGGGGAGAUGCCAGGCUCUUUGCAACAACCAGCUCUUGUGGGGAAUAAUAGGAUUAGGACUCACUCACUCCCUAGGGAGGGCAUUAAUUUAUUCAUGAGGGAUUCUCCCUCAUGACUCAAAUACCUCCUGUAAGGUUCCAUCUCAAAUUUCAAUAUGAGUUUUAUUGAGAGCAAACAUCCAAACUGGAGCACCUCAGAACACUUUUCUCCUUGGAAAUGUCUGUCCUUAUCAAGUAGUCAACAAAUAUUGACUGAGUGUUACUCUCAGGUAGACACAGAGGUGACCAUGACAGAUUCAUUCCUGUUCAGAAGUGACACAGAUAAUAACAUGUAAAGUAAUGAAGUUCAUUUUAUAUACUGUAAAGGAUAAGUCAGAGGUCAGAUCAUGUCACACCUCUGCUCACAACCUACCGGUGAAUCUCAGUUUCAUGCAAAAUUAACUUCAGAGUUUUUACCUCAUUAUUCAAGGUCUGGUAAGAUUUUCACACACUCUCUUCAUCUCUGGUUUGAUGUCCUGUUCCUUUACCCCCUUAUUCACUGCAUGUCAACUACAAGGGCUUUCUUCCUGUUCCUUGAAGUCACACUCUGCCUUUAGGGUAUCUGCACUUGCUGUUUCCUCUUCUCAGACUGAUUUUUCAUAGAUAUCUACAUGGAUAACUCCCUCUCCUACUUUAUUUCCUUGCUAAAUAUUUUUGUCAACUUCUCAAUGAAGCUUACCUUGACCACCUUCUCAAAACGGCAACCCACCUCCAAGUUGGUUCUUCCUCCUCCUCAUUACUAGGCACUAUUGUCUCUAAUACUCACUACCUGCUAACAUACUUACUUACUAUUUUUGCCUCUCUCUCCUUCCAUUAGAAUCUAAGCUUCAUGAGGGCAGAUAUUUUUGCUCAUUUUGUUCAAUGAUUUAGCUCAAGGACUUUUAACGGUAGCUAGCACACAGUAAACAUUCAGUAAAUAGCUGAGAGAAUGAAUAAGGGCUGUAAAGAAAAGAAAACAUGUUGUUAUAAUGUGUGUGCCUGUGUGAAGUACAUAGCUGUGUAUGUGAGAUAGCCUAAGUGCAUGCAUGUAUGUUUUUGUGUGUGCACAUGUGACUGUGGGAUGUAUGUAUAGCUGUUAUGUGUGUGCGGUUCUGUGUGUAAAGACAUGUGUGUAAGGUUGUGCAUGUUUGUGCCCAUGUGUGCCUAUGUGUCAGUACAUGGAUGUAUGUGAGACUGUGUAUGUGUACAUGUGUGCAAGUGUGUGUAGAGCUGUAUGCGCAGGUGUACAGGUGUUUAUGUAUACUUACAUGCAUGCAUGUGUGUUGGUAGAUGUGGAUGUGUGUGAAUGUAUGUGUGAGACUGUGUAUGUAACUAUGUGUGUGACUGUCAUGUAUAUGUAGCUCUGUAGUUAAGUGUAUGUCUAUGUAUCUGUUUAUGAGUUUGGCAUGUGCAUAAGAUUGUAAGUGUAACUGUGUGUAUUCAUGUGUGUGAGUGUCUAGAAGUGUGACUAGAUAUUUGUGUGUGCUUGCAUGUGUGAGUGUCUAUGUGUGGCAGUGAAACUGCAGAUGUGUGUGGCUGUAUCUAUAUUUGUGUGUGUGUGCAUGUGUCUGAGUGUGUGUAAGUCCUAAAUAGCACUCACACUAUUUACAGUGGUCUGAAAACACCUCUCUGGGUGCUCCUUUGCACCUGGCCACUGGGGACACUGCCAAGUCAUGAUGCUGGACUUUGCUGACUUUCUUUUCCAUUCUUUCUGUUUUUCAAAUGUUGACCUUUAGACACAUUUCAGGACAGCACAUUCCUGUGGGAAAUCUGUGAGGUGGAAAAUCAAAAUUCUCCUGAUGACUGUUUAUAAAGAAUAACGGCUAGCUCAUGUCUUCAGUGUUUUAUAGAAGUGCUCACAUGUAAUCUAAACAAGAACUCUACAAGAGAGGUAUCCAGAGCCACAUUUUAUAGAUAAGGAAAUUGAGGCUCAGAGAGGACUAGAAAUUUGGCUAAGCUCCUGCAGCUGAGUUGGGGGCUGCAUCUGACAAGUGGCCGUGGUUUCAAGUCUCUGGAGUCCCAUUUUUUUCUCUUCCAUGGAGUUUGUUUGCUGCAGUUUGAGGAGCCGAGGCAUAUGAUAAAUACCAGGUGUCCUUAGAAGAAGAGGAGAUUGGGCCCCAGACACACAUGCACAGAAGAAAGACCAUGUGAAGACAGAGGGAGAAGUCAGAGAUCUACAAACCAAGGAAACAUCCUCAGAAUGAAACCAACCUUGCCAAUCCCUGAUCCUAGACCUCCAGCCUCCACAACGGCCUUUGGACUCAGAUGGAAUUAUACCACGGGGUUUCCUGGAUCUCCAGCAUGCAGAUGGUAGAUUGUGGAACUUCUCAGCCUCCAAAAUCGAGUGAGCCAAUUCCCAUCAUAAAUCCCCUCUCCUAUGUCUAUAUAUGUCCUAUUGCUUCUCCUUCUCUGGAGAAUGCUGACUAAUACAGACAUAAUACAGCAGUCUUUGGGGUUGAUGUAUGAGUAUGUGGAGGAAGAACUAGACAUGAAGCAGAGUAUGCUUUCUU
rnacentral:lncRNA from 10 species